CCUACGGGUGGCAGCAGUGGGGAAUAUUGGUCAAUGGCCGGAACGCUGAACCAGCGAAGUCGCGUGAGGGACGACUUCCCUAUGUGUUGUAAACCUCUUUUAUAAGGGAAGAAUAAAUGCUGCGUGUAGCCUGAUGCCUGUACCUUAUGAAUAAGCCUCGGCUAGCUCCGUUCCAUCAGCCGCGGUAAUACGGGGGAUUAGCGCGUUAUCCGGAUUUCUUGGGUUUAAAGGGUGCGUAGGCGGUUUUUUAAGUUAGUGGUAAACCGUCGGGGCUUCACCUUGAUUUGCCAUUAAUACUGUAAGACUCGAGUUCAGACGAGGUAGGCGGAAUAAGUUAAGUAGCGGUGAAAUGCUUAGAUAUAACGUAGAACUCCGAUAGCGAAGGCAGCUUACCAGACUGCGACUGACGCUGAAGCACGAGAGCGUGGGUAGCGAACAGGAUUAGAUACCCGAGUAGUC
rnacentral:rRNA from 1 species